rnacentral:tRNA from 1 species
GGCGGCGUAGCUCAGCUGGCUAGAGCGUACGGUUCAUACCCGUAAGGUCGGGGGUUCGAUCCUCUGCCGCCA